rfam:Sporosarcina sp. HYO08 scaffold_11, whole genome shotgun sequence.
AGGUGAUGCCUCCUAACCUUUAUCAACGGAGGCACUCGGCUAUGCUGUGGGUGGCGCGUUUUCGCGUUGCCUUAGAUGCGUUUGGUUAUCGGGAGUAUGGUGUGAGGUGGGGUUGGAUGCCCU